GGAUCCGAAUAGGUUAUACGGGUCACUUAUUGUUCCUUCCAUCAUACGUCUCUCUUCUCCAUCUCUAAUCUUCAUUCACAUCCUAGGGUUUUUGCAACUUCAUUCGCACCUCUCCUUCUCAUCCAAUCGCAUCCAUGAAGAUCAUGUUCAUCCCCAAGGUCAACCUAAAUCUAUAUUGCCAAUCUUCUGCCCUAAUUCUCUCUGCCGUCCUUCAGCCUUACGAAAUCUUCAUCACAAAAGGUUUCUAUAGCCAUCAUCUACCUUACUUCACUUUAGCGCUUCCGUCUUCCUCCUUUGCUGCAGAAGAUUCCAAACCCUAGGUAAGGUGUAGUUUUUAGAAGUGAAACAAUGGUGGAGAAGACGAAAGGAAUGAAGGAAGAGGUGGUGACGAGAGAGUACACCAUUAAUCUUCACAAGCGGCUUCGUGGGUGAAUCCGCCGGAGUAGGUUUCUCUGUCUGAAUAACAUACCUUGGAUUAGCUUAUUAACAAAUCUCAAUGAGCUGUUCAAAAGGAUACGUAAAAUAAAGGUUAUUUAGUCAUGGUAUGCCACAGGAUGUUUAGGUGCAUUUGAUUCAUUUAAUUUGCAAUUUAGGGAUAAGGAGUUGGUUCAGUUAAAUCACUUCAUGGCUUUUAACUAUGCUGUUGGCAGAUGCAUCAAUGAAAUAAAAUAGCAUUGAAGACGUGGCAGUUGUUAAGAGUGCUGGUGCUUUUGAGGUUGCAGCUCGACAACAUUUGGCUAAUGUAGUGAAAAAAACUGUUAAAAGGCGUGCUCAACUUGGGGUUCAAGCUUUUGCGGAUGCCCUCCUUAUCGUGCCAAAGACACUGGUUGAAAAUUUUAGACUUGACACGCAAGAUGUUAUAAUUUCUUUGACUGGAGAGCAUGACAACGGGAAUGUUGUUGGACUAAAUCAACACACGGGGGAUCCAAUCGACCCUGAGAUGGAGGGCGUUUUUUACAUCUAUGCUGUCAAGCGCCAACUCAUCAACUCAGGCCCGGUGAUUGCUUCGCAUAGUAAAGAUAAGUACUGGGAAGCUGCUGAUGAAUUUGGGUCCAAAUAAAACCAGAUUAGCUUGGGUCCAAAUCAAACCAGAUUUGUAACUUUCUGAUUAAGUUACAUGUAGGCCUCAAACAAGUCGAUCAGGUUAGCUUGGGUCCAAAUCAAACCAGAUUUGAGUCCACAGUUCCAGGUUUAAAAUUUCGCUCUCUGUCCAAGUUUUACGAGUUCCUUGAUGUGAAUCUAGGAUUGUGUAAAUAAAUUAUCAGAUUGUGCAGAUUGAUCCGAAUCGAGUUCAAUCUCAAUCUCAAUGUUGCUAUUGAUGAAGUGAAAAUGCUUAGAGACAUGGGCAAAGCUUUAUUGGGGCAGGUGGUGCCCCGGACCCAUCGAUUUACUGCUUAAAUGGCUUCUUCAGCAAAUAAAAAAAAGACUAUAAAUGGUUUUAACGUAUUUUAAUAUAUGUAUAAUAUAGGGGUGAGCAAAGUAGGUUAACCGACCCGACCCGAGGAAUGACCGACCCGACCCGAUACCCGAAAAACUAAUAUUAAGCUACCCGAAAUAAAACCCUAUGUAUAUGUCUCGGUUCCGGUUCUGUAUAAGUCGGGUAUAUCGGUCCUAGGGUUCAAGACCGACCCGACCAAAACACUUCAAUUGAAUUCAGCCAGCGGCAACAGUAUACAAUUAUUCUGGUAUGUUUGUGAAGGCUGUGAAGAUUGAAGAAUUCAAGAAUCUGUAUGGCAACCACUUUCAUUUCAGGUUUAAAAACAUUUCAAUCCUAGUACCUAUUUCAAUCAAAUGUUAAUUUCUUGAUCAUGUAGUAUAACAUGUUUGUUUUAUUAGUUGAUUCCCUGAUGUUUGUUUUAAUUACUGAAAGUCUUGAUACGAA